UACAGAGGUCUCAAGCGUUGUUCGGAUUCAUUGGGCGUAAAGGGUGCGUAGGUGGCGCGGUAAGUCGGGUGUGAAAUUUCGGAGCUUAACUCCGAAACUGCAUUCGAUACUGCCGUGCUUGAGGACUGGAGAGGAGACUGGAAUUUACGGUGUAGCAGUGAAAUGCGUAGAUAUCGUAAGGAAGACCAGUGGCGAAGGCGGGUCUCUGGACAGUUCCUGACACUGAGGCACGAAGGCCAAGGGAGCAAAACGGG
rnacentral:rRNA from 1 species